UGCGCUCCUAACAUGGCGGCCGCCGUUGAGGCGGCUCACGUACGCAGCGCGGAGGGAGGCAGAGCGGACGAGCGGGAGCGAGCAAAUACCCUGGCACCCCAGGCAGAAGACAUGGAUACAAGUAUCCCCAUGAAUUAAAUGUUGACUACAAAACAGAGGCCUGGAAGCACUGAUUGAAGACCAUGCUGCCAAAUCCUUUAAAUGAAUAGGAAACAAGAAUCCCUUUGCCAUGCCUUCAGUCAUUUUAUCCAACAUUCAGAGAGUUUCUGCCAUGUGCCAGGCACUGAGCUUGGGUUCUUGCAGUGAACAAGACAUGCUCUGGGGAGAUGAAUGCUGCCAAGAAGGCUCAUUGCUCACAAGAAAAGGAAAAAUGGCAGCUGUCAUUUCAGGCACUUAAUAAGUACACUAAAUUGAGAAGCUGCUGAUUUGUUUUACCUGGUUCCUCCUUCCUGAUAAAGAAGAAAUCUCUUCAAUCAGAGGUUCUUUGAAGAUGAGAUGGAAGGCUGAGCUUCAACUGCAGAAAGUGGCAGAGGCAACAUUCAAAGGAAUAAGCCAGCUCAGCUAGCUCAGCGGUCAGCACCAGGAUUCCUGGAUUCCCAACCUCCUCUCCACCCCUAGGAAAUUUCAGGUUGCCUUUGUUCUGCAGAGUUCUUUUCAAAGGGGAUGAGUUUAGUUGUCCUUUAUUCCUUCACCAUCCUUUUCCUUUCUUUUUUAAGAAAGUUUUUUUAAAAUAUAUUUUUCAUUGAUUUUUAAAAUAAUAAUCUCACUUUACAGAUGAGUAAAACUGAGGCUCAGAGAGGUUACAUGCCUGACUUAUAGUAACAUAGCUAGCCAGCAAGCAACAAGCCAGGUCUUCUCAUUGUAACUCUAGUCUCCCUGCACUACCUUGCUCUGCAUUUAAAUAUAAUAUGUAUGUGACAUCAUAAUAUGGCAUGUGAUAUAUGAUAUGGAAUAUAGAAGACAUGCAUACUAUAUUUGGUGAAUUAUGACAUUAAUUUUUCUCACUCAGUAAAUAUGUAUUAUACAUCUAUUAUGUGCUUAUCAUUAUUCCAGGUGCUGGGGAUAGGGCA